rnacentral:ncRNA from 1 species
GCACCUCGAUGUCGGCUCGUCGCAUCCUGGGGCUGGAGAAGGUCCCAAGGGUUUGGCUGUUCGCCAAUUAAAGCGGUACGCGAGCUGGGUUCAGAACGUAAAUUACAUUGCGUUCUACUGCAGUAAUGCAGUAUAAUAAAUUUGGCUCAUAUCGGUGAAACCCUCCUUGCCUUACGAACGGGCAAAAGGGCAAUACCGAGGGAAGACAGAUUUUAUGCAAAAGGAAUUACUUAGUUAUAUUGCAGGUUUCCUUGAUGGAGAUGGUUGUAUUAUGGCUCAGUUAGUCCAUCGAAAAGAUUAUCGUUAUGGAUAUCAAAUUCGUUUGAGCAUCGUCUUUUACCAAAAAGAACAAAAAAUUGAGUUUCUAGAAUGGUUAAAGACAAAGCUUAAGUACGGUUAUAUUCGUAAUAGAAACGAUGGCAUGGCAGAAUACACUAUUGUCGGUCCGCAAUAUGUGCAAGAAAUACUUAUUAAGUUAUUGCCAUAUUUGAGACUUAAAAGAAAACUUGCUGAGUUGGUUCUAGAAAUUUCUAGAAUACCCAAACAGCUCACUGCUAAGGAAUUUCUUCAGUACGCAGAAUUAGUAGAUUUAACAGCUAAAUAUACUUAUUCUAAAAAGCGUACAAGGACGAAGGAAGUUGUUGAAAACUACCUUAAGGAGUAUAAAAUCUUGUCCCCGUAACGACUGAUCCCUAGAAUUUUUUCAGUAAUUGAAGGGUGAGAUAGUGAGUUCUAUCCUAAGGGAUAAAUUUAUAACCACUAUAAAACGCCAACGCCUACUCUCUGUUGGGGAACAGAGGUAUGAGGAUGAAGGUAUAGUCUGUGCCACAAGAAAUUGUGGAAUUAACAUGCGUGAGACAGUUCGGUCCCUAUCUGUUAUGGGCGUUGAAAUUUGAAGGAAGCUGCUCCUAGUACGAGAGGACCGGAGCGGACGAACCUCUGGUGUACCAGUUGUCCUGCCAAGGGCAUUGCUGGGUAGCUAACGUUCGGAAGGGAUAACCGCUGAAAGCAUAUAAGCGGGAAGCCCAUCCUAAGAUUAGAUUUCGUUUGAGACUCCAUAUAGAACAUGUGGUUGAUAGGCUUUAGGUGUAAGUGCAGUAAUGCAUUCAGCCGAGAAGUACUAAUAAGUCGAUGACUUGAUUUU